rnacentral:rRNA from 1 species
GAUGAACGCUGGCGGCGUGCCUAAUACAUGCAAGUCGAGCGAACAGAUAAGGAGCUUGCUCCUUUGACGUUAGCGGCGGACGGGUGAGUAACACGUGGAUAACCUACCUAUAAGACUGGGAUAACUUCGGGAAACCGGAGCUAAUACCGGAUAACAUAUUGAACCGCAUGGUUCAAUAGUGAAAGGCGGCUUUGCUGUCACUUAUAGAUGGAACCGCGCCGUAUUAGCUAGUUGGUAAGGUAACGGCUUACCAAGGCAACGAUACGUAGCCGACCUGAGAGGGUGAUCGGCCACACUGGAACUGAGACACGGUCCAGACUCCUACGGGAGGCAGCAGUAGGGAAUCUUCCGCAAUGGGCGAAAGCCUGACGGAGCAACGCCGCGUGAGUGAUGAAGGUCUUCGGAUCGUAAAACUCUGUUAUCAGGGAAGAACAAAUGUGUAAGUAACUGUGCACAUCUUGACGGUACCUGAUCAGAAAGCCACGGCUAACUACGUGCCAGCAGCCGCGGUAAUACGUAGGUGGCAAGCGUUAUCCGGAAUUAUUGGGCGUAAAGCGCGCGUAGGCGGUUUUUUAAGUUCUGAUGUGAAAGCCCACGGCUCAACCGUGGAGGGUCAUUGGAAACUGGAAAACUUGAGUGCAGAAGAGGAAAGUGGAAUUCCAUGUGUAGCGGUGAAAUGCGCAGAGAUAUGGAGGAACACCAGUGGCGAAGGCGACUUUCUGGUCUGUAACUGACGCUGAUGUGCGAAAGCGUGGGGAUCAAACAGGAUUAGAUACCCUGGUAGUCCACGCCGUAAACGAUGAGUGCUAAGUGUUAGGGGGUUUCCGCCCCUUAGUGCUGCAGCUAACGCAUUAAGCACUCCGCCUGGGGAGUACGACCGCAAGGUUGAAACUCAAAGGAAUUGACGGGGACCCGCACAAGCGGUGGAGCAUGUGGUUUAAUUCGAAGCAACGCGAAGAACCUUACCAAAUCUUGACAUCCUUUGACCGCUCUAGAGAUAGAGUCUUCCCCUUCGGGGGACAAAGUGACAGGUGGUGCAUGGUUGUCGUCAGCUCGUGUCGUGAGAUGUUGGGUUAAGUCCCGCAACGAGCGCAACCCUUAAGCUUAGUUGCCAUCAUUAAGUUGGGCACUCUAAGUUGACUGCCGGUGACAAACCGGAGGAAGGUGGGGGAUGACGUCAAAUCAUCAUGCCCCCUUAUGAUUUUGGGCUACACACGUGCUACAAUGGACAAUACAAAGGGCAGCUAAACCCGCGAGGUCAAGCAAAUCCCAUAAAAGUUGUUCUCAGUUCGGAUUGUAGUCUGCAACUCGACUACAUGAAGCUGGAAUCGCUAGUAAUCGUAGAUCAGCAUGCUACGGUGAAUACGUUCCCGGGUCUUGUACACACCGCCCGUCACACCACGAGAGUUUGUAACACCCGAAGCCCGGUGGAGUAACCAUUUAUGGAGCUAGCCGU